UUGAGUCAUAGAUGUAUCAAAAAAUAUUUUUAAUAUCUACUUAUAUAUGAAGUAGAUUAUAUUGAUUUUGAAAAUAAUUAAAAUGCUGAACUCUAAAACCAGCUGUUGAAUAUUAUAACUUGGCUUUCUCCUAAGGUGAAUGUGUUUUAAUCUUUAUAUCUUAAAGGAAUGCUACUUAAAGAUUCCCCCCCACACUGUUGUCCUUUAGUCUGUCCUGUUCCUCUAGUUCCAAACAGCUGAACAUAGAUUAACAAAUUGAUUUAGACUGAAUAUUUUACCUGACUCUGCAUAAUGAAAACAAAACAAUCAAAACAUGACAGAGUCUUCAAAAUCUAAUGUCUUUUGGAAAGUGAUUUUUUUCAUGUGCAAAUUAUCCAUAAGGAGACCUCCUAUUACUUGGGCAUAGGAAAAUCUGGGAACAGGAAAAGCUCAUUUUACCUAUUUGGCUGGACUGUUUCUGAUAUCUCCAAGCUACCUUCUCAGAAUGGUGGUGUAAACACACACAUUCUUGCAGGAAUAGUGCCGUUACAUUGUGCAGCCAUGUGUGGGCACUUUGCUUAGAGAGACUGGCGGCUUCUGUGACAAACCAGGAUUGCUGCAGUGCCUUGGGUAUGGGGCCAGGCACAUUUAAAAAAAUUUCUUUAUUUUGCUGACUGAUCAUGAAAUCUGCCAAAAUUAAUAUUUUUCCCCUCUAUUUGAAUUUAUGUAAAUUAAAUUCAGAUAAACUUUGGUAUUACUUGCAUAGUUCAAUUUGCUGUGCUGACUAAUUCUCUGCACAAACAUUUAGGUUCCCUGCCAUGUGAUUAUUAGGGAUGCGUUACUCUUCAAGCACAGAAAAGAAGUACUGUAACAUGCUUGUGUGUGAAUUGUUUCUCUAACUUGCAAAUUUCACAAGGUCAAACAUUUGGGUAGCUGUACAGCUGCUGGCAGAAUUCCCACACGCAUUUUACCGUUAGAUAAGUCUGUGGCUGGCAAUGGUUGUGUUGAGAUAAGAUGGGUCAUGUUUCACUUAGUCAUCUAAAAGUACUCCACUACGUGUUAAAAAGUACAUAAACUUUUGUGACACCUUGGAAAAGUCUUUCAUAUAUUAAGCUGUCUGAUAUUAAGCCUAACAGAUCUUCAUGCUAUUAUGAAGCUCCUUAUCUAUUCAUAAAUGAGUGUGAAUGGGAAAAGAAGGUAUGAACCGUGAGAGACCUGUAGUCUACAUGGUAUCCAUUCAACAGGACAUGAGAGACUUCUCCCAUGAUGGCAGAGACUUGUGUGAAAGAUUUUGUUGAAGGCUAUGUGACACUUAAAUGCUAAAAGCAGAAGACACUAGCUGGAAGCUCAGUGUGGAGCCAAAAUUUUCUUUUAAACUUCAAAAAUAAUUAUGUCAAAGAAAGGUCGUGCCAAGGGAGAGAAAUCUGACAUGGAGACUGAAGCCCUGCAAGCUGCUAAUGAGGAGCUAAGAACUAAACUAACCAACAUCCAGAUAGAAUUUCAGCAAGAAAAAAGCAAGGUGGGUAAAUUGAGAGAGAAAAUCCAAGAGGUUAAGCAAGAAAGGGAGCAGGAGCAGCACAAGCACACUGCCUAUGUUUCUGAACUGAAAGCCAAGCUCCAUGAGGAGAAAACGAAGGAACUUCAGAGUGUCAGAGAGCUACUGAUCCGGCAGCAUGAGCAGGAGGUAGCGAGAAUGGUGAAGAUCAAAGAUGGUGAAAUCCAGCGUUUGCAGUCGACAGUCAAUGUCCUGCGGGACGGGGCAGCUGACAAAGUGAAGACAGCCCUGCUGAGUGAGACGAAGGAGGAGGCUCGCAAGGCCUUCGACGUUGAGAGGAUGAAGCUGCAACAGGAGAUCUUGGAGCUGAAAUCUGGCAAAAAGCAGCUUGAAGAAGCUUUGAACAAUAUUAUGCAAGCAGAUAAAAUGAAGGCUGCUGACCUGCGCAUGGCUUAUCAGUCCCAUCAGGAUGAAAUCAAUAGAAUAAAGCGGGAAAGUGAGAGAGAGAUCCGCAGGCUGAUGGAUGAGAUAAAAGGCAAAGACAGAGUGAUUUUGGCUCUGGAGAAAGACCUUGGUGUCCAGGCAGGCCAUACACAGAAACUGCUCCUUCAGAAAGAAGCUUUGGAUGAACAGCUUGUCCAAGUGAAGGAGGCAGAACGAUACCACAGCAGUCCUAAGAGAGAGCUUCCUGCAGGAGUGGGAGAUAUCACCGAACUGAUGGGAAGCCCGGAGCAGCAUUUGGAUGAACGAGAUGUGCGGAGAUUUCAGUUAAAAAUCGCUGAACUGAAUGCUGUAAUAAGGAAGCUGGAAGACAGAAAUACUCUCUUAGCAGAUGAAAGAAAUGAACUGCUGAAACGUUCUCGGGAGACAGAAAGUCAGCUGAAGCCUUUGGUAGAAAAAAAUAAGAGAAUGAGCAAAAAAAAUGAUGAUAUGCUGCAAAGUAUUCAGAGAAUGGAAGAGAAAAUAAAAAAUCUAUCAAGGGAAAAUGCAGAAUUGAAGGAGAAGUUAUCUGCACAACCAGCACUGAAGAGACACACAUCUUUGAAUGAUCUCAGCAGCACACGGGAGGAACAAGAAAUUGAAUUCCUUAGACUGCAAGUCAAAGAACAGCAGCAUGUUAUUGAUGAUCUCACAGUGGAAAGGGAACGGUUAUUACGGUCUAAAAAGCAGAGGAGGAAAAGUCUGAAGCCUCCAAAGAGGCAUGUUGUGGAGACAUUUUUUGGAUUUGAUGAAGAAUCUGUUGAUUCAGAAACAUCAUCUGUAACUUCAUAUAACACAGAUAGAACAGACAGGACACCAGCAACACCAGAAGAAGAUUUGGAAGAUAGCACACCUAAAGAAGAAGCUGAACUAAGGUUCUGCCAGCUAACAAGAGAGUACCAAGCUUUGCAAAGAGCCUAUGCAUUGCUUCAAGAACAAGUUGGUGGAACCCUGGAUGCAGAAAGAGAAGCAAGGAAUCGUGAACAACUGCAAGCUGAUCUUCUCAGGUGUCAGGCAAAAAUUGAGGACCUGGAGAAAGCUCUGAUCGAGAAAGGACAGGAUUCAAAAUGGGUGGAAGAAAAGCAGCUGUUAAUUAGAAAAAAUCAGGAGUUGAUAGAGAAGAUUCACCGAAUGGAACAAGAAGAACAUCAGCUGAAGAACGAGGUGCAAGAUGCAAAAGACCAGAAUGAGCUGUUAGAAUUCAGAGUGCUAGAGCUUGAAGAGAGAGAACGGAGGUCACCAGCAUUUAAUCUUCAUAUAACCACCUUCCCUGAAAACAAUGGAAGUGCACUUCAACUGUUCUGUCAACAGGAAGGAAUAAAGGAUGUGAAUAUAUCUGAACUUAUGAAGAAGCUAGAUAUUCUUGGAGAUAACGGGAAUUUGAGAAAUGAAGAACAGGUUGCAAUAAUCCAAGCUGUGACUGUACUUUCCCUCUGUGAAAAGUGGUUAAAACAGAUAGAGGGGACAGAAGCUGCACUGACACAGAAGAUGUUGGACCUUGAGAAUGAAAAGGACCUGUUCAGUAAACAGAAGGGUUAUUUAGAGGAAGAACUCGACUACAGGAAGCAAGCUCUGGACCAGGCAUACAUGAAAAUCCAGGAGCUGGAAGCCACGCUGUACAAUGCCCUGCAGCAGGAUCCGGGAAGGCGGGCAAGCGAGUCGCUGACGGAAGCCCAGCGGGAGGAUUUGCGAGCUGCAGUGGAGAAGGUGCGGCGGCAGAUCCUGAGGCAGAGCCGGGAGUUUGACAGCCAGAUCUUGCACGAGCGAAUGGAGCUGCUGCAGCAGGCCCAGCAGCGUAUUCGAGAACUAGAAGAUAAAAUAGAACUUCAAAAGAGGCAACUCAAAGAAAUUGAGGAAAAGCAUUCAUUCUGUGGCCUUGAUGACACAAAUGAUCCAAGAUGUGUGGCUAUUAAAAGAACCUAUGGAGUGAACAGCUGAGUCCACGUGCAAAAAUAUAGAAAAUACUUAUUGAGCGGUUUUAAAUUGGUGCAUUUUUUUCAUAAAACAGAUUGCAUAAUACUUGAAGCUAAAAAAUAUCUGAAUUUAAUUUAGAGAUUUUUGUAAAGAUAUAGCUUCAAGCUGGAAUGAUUUAAUAAUCAAAUAACGACCAGCACAUCAGAAACACUGAAAAAAAAAAAAUCUAAGCAGAAUUUUCACUUUCACACCGAUCAAAUGCUGAAAAAAUGACAAGUGCAAUUACUGGCUGCUGUGUGAACUGUUAUCUACCAAAUGGUUUUCUUACAGUACUGAGAUCUCUGUCUCCAUACUGCAUGCUUUCAACAAAUGUGGUUUGCAUUUCACCCAGGAAACACAGAAUCUCCUUUUUAAUAUCUAUAUAAAAAAAGCUAAAUGUUGGACAUUAAGUUCUCUAUAGUGAAUACCUGACAGGAAAAAAACUGUUCAAAGUUGGAAAUAUAAGAGAUUUACAACCCCACAGUGGUAAAAUUCAUAUUAAGUUCAUAAGUUGGAAAUCCACAGAUGGAGUAGAGGAGAGUUUUGGAGAAAGGUGAGAUGGUAGAUUGAACCAAAAAAACUUGAAGUGCGUAAGAACUGAAUGGGAGAAAUUAUUUUUGAAUAUUUCUUGAAAAUUAGGACAAUAACUUGUGACAAUGGCACUGGGACAAUGAAACAUCCUGAGAUGGCCUGAGAGGUCAGGAAAAGGGAAUGGAGCUAUCUCUUCUAGAAAAAAGAGUGACUUUUUUUCGUGCAGAGGAAUGUGAUAAGCAGAGAAAUAAAUGGAAAUAAAUAUUUUGAAAUAAUUGUACCCUCCCAGGCAAAAUAAAAGGAUUAUAAUAUUGCCCACCGUUAACUACUAAGAAGCAAAAAUGGCACAGCCUCAAGCAGCAGUAGUACAUAAACGCAGUGAAGACCAUCUGAACUGCAAGAAAAAUUCUGGGCAAAGCACAGAUUGAAUAAAUGAACUUUGCAAAGAGUUCUUUAAGAUGGAGAAUGCUUAAAAAAAUUCCAAAAACAUUAUGCUUUUCUUUCAAAGAGGGAAAAGCAAUUCAUUGUUUCAUAGCUAGAAAAACAAUAUGAAGAAAUAGAUCAUUUGAAUUCUGGAAUGUUGAGGCAAGCUGAAAAUAUCAAGAGCACAAUGUUAAAAGGUAACUUUCUCCUUCCUCACAUUUUAUUGGUUAUCAUCGUUGUCUUAAAAGGGCUACACAGAAAGCUACAGAGAGACAAGACUGCUCCCAUGGACACGCUGGACUCCAGCGGGAAUGUAGAGUGGAAUAAGAUGGUUACGAUGAUACAUCAGAUAAGGUGGAAAAUAGCAUUGAAAAAAGUAACAGAAGGCAAAGAAUGAUCAAGGCAGUGCAAAGAAAGCUGAGGAAAAGAUUUGUCAUAGCAACUGAAUAUCUAACUGUUGAAGGUGCAGGAAUUAACCUCAAAAGAAGCCAGUUUUCUCAGAUAAAUUUUUGGCUCUGAAGUAAAACCAGAGAUAUACUCUUCACAAAGAAUCACCAGACAAAAUCAUUUACCUGCUGAAGGAACUGAGGCACUUCACAAGAUUAACUCAGACAGAUGCAGCAAACUGUGGCUUGUGUGAGGGUCUGAAUAGCCCUGUUUCCUGGUACAAAGCACAACUUAAACUGGAAACAGGGAUCAUGCAGAAAUUUGGAAACUUGAUCCCGAAAAGAAUGUGUUGCUCACACAAUGUUAUUCAGAAGGAACAAGCAUUUAGAGAAUGUGUUUUCAAAUAGAGAUUUUUCAUGUUCUAUUUAAACCUUUUAGUGGUGUGAUGACAGAAUGUGGAAAAAUUAGGUCUUCCCUGCAAAAGGAAGAGUUUUGGCAUUACUUUCAAGAGAAGGGCCAUAACUGGAGAUACACAGAUCUUGAGGUAACCAAACCAGGUGCUGAUGAGGAAGCAGAAAUUAUGAAGUGUGAUUCACUUGACAAAACAGCACCUUAUCCUCAUAGAUAUAGUUUUGCUCAUCACUGCUUCUGGAAUGAAACUAUAAGCACAAACAUGGGAUGGUCAGAGCAUGUGGCUGCAGCGGUAAGCGCACUGCCGAGACAGGAGGUGGUCUCGUUGCAAAGCAGGAAAGGAAUUAGAAGAUGCAAGCGUACCUGAUGAACAAGUAGACAGUGCUGGAGAAGAGAAUUUGAACCUCAGAAUAAAAGAGCUUG